rnacentral:tmRNA from 1 species
GGGGAUGAUUUGGGUUCGACAAUUGUAAAAGGGCUUAAAUUGCAAGUAGAUGGCAAUCUUUAAAUGCAAAAUUAAAUAUAACUGGAAACAGAAAUCAAUUAGCUUUCGCAUAAUUAAUUAAUUGAAAGCGCUUCUUUUAUUUUUUUGCCUACGGAAAAUAUAAGAGGCUCAUUUUAGUAGGAUAUAUUAUAAGUUCACUUACGGCUUAUAAUGAAUUUUAGUAAGUUAGUUAUUUAAUUAGGAGGGGAAUUCCCAUUUAAAUAAUGAAUUGUUUGAAUUUCCUAAACUUGUAGAUGUUUAAGUUUGAUUACUCUUGGACAGGGGUUCAAUUCCCCUCAUCUCCACCA